CACACAGUGAAAACGUUGAAGAAACCAUGAGCAGAACACUCAAAAAAUUUGGGAUAGCGUAAAAAGACCUGGAACAAAAUUUAAAAAGAAGAUCCUGGAACAAAAUUUAAGAGUUAUUGAAAUAGAAGAAGGCAUAGAGUUCCAGACCAAAGGAAUGAACAAUCUAUUCAAUGAAAUAAUACCAGAAAACUUUCCAAACAUGAAGAAUGAGUUGGAAAACCAAAUUCAAGAUGCCUGCAGGUUGCCAAAUUGUACAAAAUCACAACAGAUCCACACCAAGUCAUAUUAUAAUAAAACUGCCCAACAUACAGAAUAAGGAGAGAAUAUUAAAAACCAUGAGAGAAGGGAAUUAGAUUACAUAUAGGGGGAAACCAAUUAGGAUAAUGGAAGACUUUUGAACACAGAACCCAAAAGCUAGAAAAUCCUGGAACAACAUAUAUCAAAUUCUGAAAGAAAAUGGAUGUAAACCAAGAAUCUUAUAUCCAGCAAAAUUAAUCUUCAGAUUUGAUGAUAAAAUAACAACCUUCCAUGCUAAAUAAAGUUAAAAGAAGUUAUAGCUAGAAAACUGGUACUACAAAACAUCCUUGGCAAAAUAUUCCAUGAAGAGGAAAUGAAGAACAAUAAUGAAAAUCAGCAGAGGGAGGUAGUACCUUAAAGGAAAAAAUAAUCAAAUAAAUCAAGUUAAAUAACAAAAAUAAACAUAUAUGACU
rnacentral:lncRNA from 1 species